AGGAAAGAAGUUUCAGAAAUACUAUGUUCUUACCCCAGAAGACAGAUCUAAGUUGAGUUUUAUUUGAAAUAACUUUUGUUAACAAGGAGGUGAUAUAAUGGUAAUGUCAGGGAUUUAUGGAAUUUACGAUAUGGGUAACCAGAUGAUAAGCAAGGGAUGUAGAAAAGGAAUUGUCAGAAACUAAAGACAAACUUAAUUGGCUUUACACUUUGGCCUAGAAUCAUACCACACUGGGUGAUGACACUUAGAAAUGUCCAUCAUCAUCAUCAUCAUCAUCAUCAUUGCUGUUAUUAUUAAGUGCCUAGACACUUGCUAAUAAGUGGAAGAUGAAGAUGCUCUCUCUAUAUUAUUUCAUUUAAUCCUCUCAAGAACCAUUGAAUAGAUAACUCUUUUUGACAGAUGGAUAAACCAAGGCGUUGGGUUAGGCCAAAGCAUUUACUCAAUGUGAUAUGGAAUAGCAUAGCCAGAAGUAGUUGACAGGCCCUACGGAGAGCUUUACAGCUAACAUCAGGAAAGGAUUCAUUGCCAUUAGCCUAUGACCUGGCUCUUGGUGCACCAACAAUGAAUUUC
rnacentral:sRNA from 1 species